rnacentral:rRNA from 1 species
CCUACGGGUGGCAGCAGUAGGGAAUAUUGCUCAAUGGGGGAAACCCUGAAGCAGCAACGCCGCGUGGAGGAUGAAGGUUUUCGGAUUGUAAACUCCUUGUGAUAGAGAAGAUAAUGACGGUAUCUAACGAAUAAGCACCGGCUAACUCCGUGCCAGCAGCCGCGGUAAUACGGAGGGUGCAAGCGUUACUCGGAAUCACUGUGCGUAAAGAGCGCGUAGGCGGGAUCGCAAGUCAGAUGUGAAAUCCUAUGGCUUAACCAUAGAACUGCAGUUGAAACUGUUAUUCUAGAGUAUGGGAGAGGGAGGCGGAAUUCUUGGUGUAGGAGUAAAAUGCGUAGAGAUCAAGAGGAAUACUCAUUGCGAAGGCGACCUGCUAGAACAUAACUGACGCUGAGGCGCGAAAGUGUGGGGAGCAAACAGGAUUAGAUACCCCGGUAGUC